GAAUUUAUAAGAACUCACUGUGUAAUUCAGCCGAGGCCGCAAGGCUUUGGCCUAGUAAUUGUCGUUGAAAGUUGCGGAGGUCCUACCUCAUUCAGUGACAGCAACCCAAGAGAGAGAAUAAUGGCCGCAGCUCCCUUAUAUGGGCAGGGGCUGGCCGUUCUAGGAUUGGUCCACGCCAUCUGUCAAUCAGCUUUACAAGGCAUUGUGGGUAUCACAUGUCCCAUGAACCUCCAAAGGUCCUUUUGAGCUACCAUAGAGACUAGAACAUCGUCACGUGACCCGCAGGUGCUGCGAUGCUAGCGCAAGGUUCGGAAUUGUAAAGAUGGAAAUUCUUAGGCCACAACUCCAAGAAAUCAAAGCAGCCUGCAGUGAUUGGAUAAGGAGACCUGGCACAGCACAGCAGAGUCUGGGAGGAAGUGAAUGCAUAGUGAGUGAGGACAGGCUUGCCUCGGACAUGCCCCUUCCUGAGCAGUGGAUGUCAGAAUAAGUGAGCUGCAGAAGAGAGGGAUGUGUGAGCCAAAUACAGAUGCUAGACACAAAAAACACUGAAAGAGCUGUGCCUAUUGAUUGGAUAUGUGCUGAUAAUAUUGCUGAUGGUGUUGUUCCUUAUGUUUUCC